AGGCAACCAACGCGUAUCCAACAGCAUAAAAUAGUUCCCAAGAGCAUAAAAUAGUUCCCAACAGCGCCAGCGCAGGGGGCAAAACAGAGCGACCAAAUGGGGGCACCCUCAGGGGAGUUGCGCUCAUCUGGAGCGAGACGCCAGCCUGGGAAAGCGGAACCCCUUUCCCGCCCCGCCCCGAGGACUCACGCUCAGGUGCAACGCCGAGACUCCCGGGGGAAAGAGAGGUGACCGUCUCGGCGCGACCGCCCACACCUCUUGCUCCAAAUGACCCCAGCACACAGGAGAGGUCCUCUCAGCGUGGGACUCCGUCUCUCCCGAAGGCAGGGAGCACAACGAAGCGGCCACUCGUCUCUGCAGCCGCGCUACCGGCCCGCAGCCUGGCUCGCAGGUGAGGCGUGAACAGGUGAGAUGUGACUUUUGCCUUCCACCACGACUGUGCCCGGUCUUGGGUAUGUCUUUAUCAGCAGCAGGACAAUGGACUCCUACAGUAAAUUGGUACCAGUAGAGUGGGCGCUGCUGAAAAGAUACCCAAAAAUGUGAAAGUGACUUUGGAACUGGGUAACACGCAGAGGUUGGAACAGUUUGGAGGGCUCAGAAUAAGACAGAAAAAUGUGGGAAAGUUUGGAACUUCCUAGAGACUUGUUGAAUGGCUUUGUGCAAAAUGCUGAUAAUGACAUGGACAAUGAAAUCCAGGUUAAUAUGGUCUCUGAUGGAGAUGAAGAACUUGUUGGGAACUGGAGCAAAGGUGACUCUUGUUUUAGCAAAGAGACUGGUGGCAUUUUGCCCCUGCUCUAGAGAUUUUUGGAACUUUGAACUUAAGAGAGAUGAUUUAGGUAUCUGGCAGAAGAAAUUUCUAAGCAGCAAAGCACUCAAGAGGUGACUUGAGUGCUGUUAAAGGCAUACAGUUUUAAAAGGGAAACAGUAUAAAAGUUCAGAAAAUUUGCAGCCUGACAAUGUGAUAGAAAGGAAAAUCCCAUUUUCUGAGGAGAAAUUCAAGCUGGCUGCAGAAAUUUGCAUAUGUAAUGAGGAGCUGAAUGUUAAUCCCCAAGACAAUGGGAAAAAUGUCUCCAGGGCAUGUUAGAGGUUUUCACGGCAGCUCCUUCCAUCACAGGCCUGGAAGCCUAAAAGGUGAGACUUGCCUUUCUCCUUCUGCCAUGAUUGUGAGGCUUCUUCAGCCACGUGGAACUGUGAGUCAUUAAAUCUCUUUCUUUUGUAAAUCACCCAGUCUUGGGUAUGUCUUUAUCAGCAGCAUAAAAUGGACUAAUAUUUAAUAUAAUUACUAAUAUAUUUAUGUAUAUUCACAUUGUU
rnacentral:lncRNA from 10 species